UUCAUAUCGAUUUGUACGAAUUCCUGGCCUGUGACCACCCAAAAUGGAGGAGGAGCAUUGAGAACCUUUGGGUCAUGCACUGGUAGUUCAGAGAAGCCCAAUGUAUAUGGCAGAAGGAGAGAACCACCUCCCAGCUAUCCAUCUCCUGCCCUACCUGUGACAAGCUGUAGGUUCAGCACUAACCUUGUCAGCCACCUUGCCCACCGAACAGGAGUGGAAGCAAGUCAUCCUUGAUCCUAAGGUAGCCAACAACAACUGUCAAGGCCAGUGGACUGGGAGCAGGUACCAAGGAGGCCAGCAGUCUGGAGGAGGGAGUGCUUUUCUGCUUACAGAUGGCCAUCAGGCUGGGACCAGGGAUUCAGCAAUAUGGCUUUGAAGAAAUCACACCUUCGCGUCAUCACUGCCACCAGUGCAGCUGUUGUCAGGCUCUCUGAAGAUGGCGAGAGACUGGAGAUGCAGAGUGCGGACGUGGGCAUCAGGAAUGCAGUACAGCCGUGGGUUAAGGAUAGCUCAAGUGCCACCCUGCAGUGGGAAGCUACACUGAUGCUCCAGUUCAGAUGAGGACUUCCAGUGAGGCAACCUACAGAUCAAUAAUUGAUUACAAAUUCCCAGCUCCUGUGUGGGAAUUGCACAAGUAACUCUAGACCAUUGUGCGCCCAUGCUCUACCAUUGGAGGAGAAUAAUUGAACUCUGUCAUAUUGCCUGUCCCUUUGUGUUGAAUGUUCUGUUGACCUUUGCGGUCUGGGCUCACAUCUGAACAACAUCCCUUGCUGACCGUAGCCUCAUUCACAAGAAGAGGUGGAACUACUGAUGGUGGGUAGGUGGUCUACUUUCAUAUGGAUACGAACAGUACUGCUUCACAGCUGUUGCAAAUCAGCACUAAUAUUAAAAAAAAUCCUAAUGAGCUCUCUCAGAACAUGGAGGCUAUGUUCCAAUAUGAUCCUGUUUAUUAAAAGGCAGGUAACUCACAAAACUUGUCAUAAAUAUUGCUACUGUUUACUGCAGUGUGACUAUUACCCGUUUAAUUCUAAAUAAAAGAGACAGUAAACCAGUA